rnacentral:rRNA from 1 species
UACGUAGGGCGCAAGCGUUGUCCGGAAUUAUUGGGCGUAAAGAGCGCGCAGGCGGUCGUACAAGUCGCGUGUGAAAGCCCCCGGCUCAACUGGGGAGGGUCACGCGAUACUGUUCGACUCGAAGGCAGGAGAGGGAAGUGGAAUUCCCGGUGUAGUGGUGAAAUGCGUAGAUAUCGGGAGGAACACCAGUGGCGAAGGCGACUUCCUGGCCUGUUCUUGACGCUGAGGCGCGAAAGCUAUGGUAGCAAACGGG